UCUUCUGCAUGCACCUUGAUAGAUGUUUCACUACUGUGAGGUGACACUUUGGCUCAUUUACAGUAGUGGAACAUCUAUCAAGGUGCAUGCAGAAGU
rnacentral:miRNA from 1 species